rnacentral:rRNA from 1 species
UGCAGUCGAGCGGCAGCACGGGUACUUGUACCUGGUGGCGAGCGGCGGACGGGUGAGUAAUGCCUAGGAAUCUGCCUAGUAGUGGGGGAUAACGUCCGGAAACGGGCGCUAAUACCGCAUACGUCCUACGGGAGAAAGUGGGGGAUCUUCGGACCUCACGCUAUUAGAUGAGCCUAGGUCGGAUUAGCUAGUUGGUGAGGUAAUGGCUCACCAAGGCGACGAUCCGUAACUGGUCUGAGAGGAUGAUCAGUCACACUGGAACUGAGACACGGUCCAGACUCCUACGGGAGGCAGCAGUGGGGAAUAUUGGACAAUGGGCGAAAGCCUGAUCCAGCCAUGCCGCGUGUGUGAAGAAGGUCUUCGGAUUGUAAAGCACUUUAAGUUGGGAGGAAGGGCAGUUACCUAAUACGUGAUUGUUUUGACGUUACCGACAGAAUAAGCACCGGCUAACUCUGUGCCAGCAGCCGCGGUAAUACAGAGGGUGCAAGCGUUAAUCGGAAUUACUGGGCGUAAAGCGCGCGUAGGUGGUUUGUUAAGUUGGAUGUGAAAGCCCCGGGCUCAACCUGGGAACUGCAUCCAAAACUGGCAAGCUAGAGUAUGGUAGAGGGUGGUGGAAUUUCCUGUGUAGCGGUGAAAUGCGUAGAUAUAGGAAGGAACACCAGUGGCGAAGCGACCACCUGGACUGAUACUGACACUGAGUGCGAAAGCGUGAGCAAACAGGAUUAGAUACCCUGGUAGUCCACGCCGUAAACGAUGUCAACUAGCCUUGGGAGCCUUGAGCUCUUAGUGGCGCACUAACGCAUUAAUUGACCGCCGGGGAGUACGGCCGCGUAAAACUCAAAUGAAUUGACGGGGGCCCGCACAAGCGGUGGACAUGUGGUUUAAUUCGAAGCAACGCAAAAUUACCGCCUUGACUCCAAUGAACUUUCUGAGAUAUGGGCCUUCGGAACUUGACUGCAGGUGUCGCAGCUCGUGGUGUAUCCUAAGCCCUUAUGGACUGAAGGGAACAGAGACGCGCAAAA